rnacentral:rRNA from 1 species
UACGUAGGGCGCAAGCGUUGUCCGGAAUUAUUGGGCGUAAAGAGCUCGUAGGCGGUCUGUCGCGUCUGUUGUGAAAACUCGAGGCUCAACCUCGGGCUUGCAGUGGAUACGGGCAGACUAGAGUGCGGUAGGGGAGACUGGAAUUCCUGGUGUAGCGGUGGAAUGCGCAGAUAUCAGGAGGAACACCGAUGGCGAAGGCAGGUCUCUGGGCCGCAACUGACGCUGAGAAGCGAAAGCAUGGGGAGCGAACAGG